GACGAACGCUGGCGGCGUGCUUAACACAUACAAGUCGUACGGUAAGGCCCUUUCGGGGGUACACGAGUGGCGAACGGGUGAGUAACACGUGAGUAACCUGCCCACAACUUUGGGAUAACGCUAGGAAACUGGUGCUAAUACUGGAUAUGUGCUCCUGCUGCAUGGUGGGGGUUGGAAAGCUCCGGCGGUUGUGGAUGGACUCGCGGCCUAUCAGCUUGUUGGUGGGGUAGUGGCCUACCAAGGCGGCGACGGGUAGCCGGCCUGAGAGGGUGACCGGCCACAUUGGGACUGAGAUACGGCCCAGACUCCUACGGGAGGCAGCAGUGGGGAAUAUUGCACAAUGGGGGCAAGCCUGAUGCAGCAACGCCGCGUGCGGGAUGACGGCCUUCGGGUUGUAAACCGCUUUCAGCAGGGACGAAGCUUUUUGUGACGGUACCUGCAGAAGAAGCACCGGCUAACUACGUG
rnacentral:rRNA from 1 species